rnacentral:lncRNA from 1 species
AUCUUGUAUGUCUCUUUCCGACCACGGGACUACAGAGUCCCGGAUUUUUGGAAGGCGAACGUGGGGCCGAAGCCAACACGCUGAAGCCCUUUUGAGACAACUUUAAUGAAAUGGCGACACAAAAACCGACGAUUAUCCCUGUAUACACUAUAGAAAUGUACCCAAGGACAAUCCCCGGUUCUGUGCUAAACUAUUGCUAAAUAUGGAAUAAAACUACUAGGGCUAUUGGGAUGGGAUGCUAAUGGACUGGGAAUUGGGAUAACUAUGGGAACUAUGGCACCUGCCGAUAACAAUGUUUGCACACGUAAAAAUGGCAGGUGGAGACUCGCCAACUCACUUACUGGGCCCCCGGGAAUCAGUCACUGAAAAGCAACAAGAGGGCAACAGGGACAUGAGCGGCUGAGAAGGGUGAGGAUACCUCGGCGGACUUUAAACGCAGAUCACGCGCUCCCUGUGGGUCCAGCAUCACCAGCCCACUCGCCACUUACCACGAGGCACCUACCCUCCUAGCAGAGCUGCUAACCUUGCUCUAGCGACUCCACUCUGACCGGCCGAUGAAGGCAAGCCAAGAGGCGGGAGACCUAUCCCCCGUCAUGCUUCACUCCGGCAGGCCGGAGAUGGGGGACAGUAUACUCUCCCUGGAGCACUCGGAUAUAUAGCCCCGCGGGGUCGCUACUCCCCGUCAUCCGCCUCAGAUGCCCUGCGGGGCUUAUUAUUAUUAUUACUAGCCUAUAAUGUCCCACUGCUGGGCAAAGGCCUCCCCAUCCCGCUUCCACACUUCUCGAUCCUUCGAUCGAGUCCACCAGUCUCGACAGUAGGCGUCCAGUUCGUCACGCCAUCUCUUCCGGGGUCUACCCCGCCUGCGGUGUCCAUCCUGGGGUGUCCACUGGGUGACAAUAGUGGCCCAUCUUUCCGGAUGCAUACGGCUGACGUGUCCGGCCCAGUUCCAUUUCAGUGUUGCCGCCUUUCGGCCCACAUCAGCGACUCCUGUUCUGGAACGUAUAACGGUAUUCCGGAUGCGAUCCGUCCGUUUAAUGCCUAAAAGGCUACGCUCUAUUGCUCUCUGGCAAACCUUGAGUUUGGACUUCUGACACUCCGUGAGAGACCAAGUUUGUGCACCGUAGGUUAGGACGGGCAAGAUACACAUGUCGACUAAUUUUCGCUUGAGUGAAAGGGGAAGGUCCCCUUUCAUGUACUGCUUCAUGGACCAGUAGCUUUUCCAGGCGUUCUCUAUGCGACAAAUUAAAAUUACCUACACCAGCAAGUAAAAUUGUAUUCAUCUUUUGAUUAUUUGUUUGUAACUUUGUACCAAAAUAUAAACCAAUUUGUAAAUGUGAACACCAUGUAGCAUUUUAAUUGUCAUUUUAUCCUCAUUUGUCUUUGCGAUUCUACAUGAUCUUCGCAUGCUGUCACUGUAUGUAUCAAUACAUACAAACUGUAAUAAGGCGAUUAUCACACUGCCCCGCAUGAUGCAGCGUAGUGCGUGGAUGCGUUUUUUUCCGUUGUAUGGAAAUAUCUCCGUUUGUAUGGAAAACACGCAUAGUCCAACACACUGAAAAUGCAUCCACGCGCGUUCAUGCGGAUCACGCACAUACAUGCGGAGAAAAACGCACCCCGCGCGUAGGUGCGGGGCGAAACGCAAGGUAUGGCACACUGAAUCCCGCACUGCCGCGCGUGAUUUUGAAUGGGCGUGACGUGUAUAUUUGAAAAUGGAAGCCGCCGUGCGUGAAUUUACAAAACGCACCUACGCGCGUGAGUGCGCGAAAAACCCGCACGAUGUUGCAGAUCUGCACUCCCGCAGGAACGCGCGUAGGUGCGUCGACACGCAAGAUGCAGCGUGAUGCGGGGCAGUGUGAAGAUCACCUAAGUACCAUAUUAUUUUUAAAAAGAGUAACCAUGGAGUUUCUUGCCCGUUCUUCUCCAUAGGAAGCUACUUUUGGAAUGGGCAACUAGAAUCAAACUUAGUUAUAAUUUUGACGUUCAUAAGUGCUUGUAAAGGCCUAAAUGAAAUAAAUGAUUUGACAUUGAAUUAUAUUUAA